rnacentral:rRNA from 1 species
GAUGGACCCGCGUUGGAUUAGCUAGUUGGCAGGGUAACGGCCUACCAAGGCGACGAUCCAUAGCCGGCCUGAGAGGGUGAACGGCCACAUUGGGACUGAGACACGGCCCAGACUCCUACGGGAGGCAGCAGUGGGGAAUAUUGCACAAUGGGGGAAACCCUGAUGCAGCGACGCCGCGUGAAGGAAGAAGUAUCUCGGUAUGUAAACUUCUAUCAGCAGGGAAGAUAGUGACGGUACCUGACUAAGAAGCCCCGGCUAACUACGUGCCAGCAGCCGCGGUAAUACGUAGGGGGCAAGCGUUAUCCGGAUUUACUGGGUGUAAAGGGAGCGUAGACGGACUGGCAAGUCUGAUGUGAAAGGCGGGGGCUCAACCCCUGGACUGCAUUGGAAACUGUUAGUCUUGAGUGCCGGAGAGGUAAGCGGAAUUCCUAGUGUAGCGGUGAAAUGCGUAGAUAUUAGGAGGAACACUCGUGGCGAAGGCGGGUUCCUGGACAUUAACUGACGCUGAGGCACGAAGGCCAGGGGAGCGAAAGGGAUUAGAUACCCCUGUAGUCCUGGCAGUAAACGGUGCACGCUUGGUGUGCGGGGAAUCGACCCCCUGCGUGCCGGAGCUAACGCGUUAAGCGUGCCGCCUGGGGAGUACGGUCGCAAGAUUAAAACUCAAAGAAAUUGACGGGGACCCGCACAAGCGGUGGAGUAUGUGGCUUAAUUCGAUGCAACGCGAAGAACCUUACCUGGGCUUGACAUGUAAUGAACAACAUGUGAAAGCAUGCGACUCUUCGGAGGCGUUACACAGGUGCUGCAUGGCCGUCGUCAGCUCGUGUCGUGAGAUGUUUGGUUAAGUCCAGCAACGAGCGCAACCCCUGUUGCCAGUUACCAGCACGUGAAGGUGGGGACUCUGGCGAGACUGCCCAGAUCAACUGGGAGGAAGGUGGGGACGACGUCAGGUCAGUAUGGCCCUUAUGCCCAGGGCUGCACACGUACUACAAUGCCCAGUACAGAGGGGGCCGAAGCCGCGAGGCGGAGGAAAUCCUAAAAACUGGGCCCAGUUCGGACUGUAGGCUGCAACCCGCCUACACGAAGCCGGAAUCGCUAGUAAUGGCGCAUCAGCUACGGCGCCGUGAAUACGUUCCCGGGUCUUGCACACACCGCCCGUCA